rnacentral:rRNA from 1 species
UACGAAGGGUGCAAGCGUUAAUCGGAAUUACUGGGCGUAAAGCGCGCGUAGGUGGUUUGAUAAGUUGGAUGUGAAAGCCCCGGGCUCAACCUGGGAAUUGCAUCCAAAACUGUCUGACUAGAGUACGGUAGAGGGUAGUGGAAUUUCCUGUGUAGCGGUGAAAUGCGUAGAUAUAGGAAGGAACACCAGUGGCGAAGGCGACCACCUGGGCUAAUACUGACACUGAGGUGCGAAAGCGUGGGGAGCAAACAGG